UGAGAAACAGUAGCCUACCUUUUAGAGUA
rnacentral:piRNA from 1 species